rnacentral:rRNA from 1 species
UACGUGCGGUCGCAUGCUUUUUCUUUCACCGGAGUCUUGCUCCACCGAAGGAAAAAGAGUGGGGAACGGGUGAGUAACACGUGGAUAACCUACCCUCAAGCGGGGGAUAACACUUGGAAACAGGUGCUAAUACCGCAUAACAAAGAAAACCGCAUGGUUUUCUUUUGAAAGGCGCUUUUGCGUCACUUGAGGAUGGAUCCGCGGUGCAUUAGCUAGUUGGUGAGGUAACGGCUCACCAAGGCAACGAUGCAUAGCCGACCUGAGAGGGUGAUCGGCCACAUUGGGACUGAGACACGGCCCAAACUCCUACGGGAGGCAGCAGUAGGGAAUCUUCGGCAAUGGACGAAAGUCUGACCGAGCAACGCCGCGUGAGUGAAGAAGGUUUUCGGAUCGUAAAACUCUGUUGUUAGAGAAGAACAAGGAUGAGAGUAAAAAGUUCAUCCCUUGACGGUAUCUAACCAGAAAGCCACGGCUAACUACGUGCCAGCAGCCGCGGUAAUACGUAGGUGGCAAGCGUUGUCCGGAUUUAUUGGGCGUAAAGCGAGCGCAGGCGGUUUCUUAAGUCUGAUGUGAAAGCCCCCGGCUCAACCGGGGAGGGUCAUUGGAAACUGGGAAACUUGAGUGCAGAAGAGGAGAGUGGAAUUCCAUGUGUAGCGGUGAAAUGCGUAGAUAUAUGGAGGAACACCAGUGGCGAAGGCGGCUCUCUGGUCUGUAACUGACGCUGAGGCUCGAAAGCGUGGGGAGCAAACAGGAUUAGAUACCCUGGUAGUCCACGCCGUAAACGAUGAGUGCUAAGUGUUGGAGGGUUUCCGCCCUUCAGUGCUGCAGCUAACGCAUUAAGCACUCCGCCUGGGGAGUACGACCGCAAGGUUGAAACUCAAAGGAAUUGACGGGGGCCCGCACAAGCGGUGGAGCAU